rnacentral:rRNA from 1 species
GAUGAACGCUGGCGGCGUGCCUAAUACAUGCAAGUCGAGCGAACGGACGAGAAGCUUGCUUCUCUGAUGUUAGCGGCGGACGGGUGAGUAACACGUGGAUAACCUACCUAUAAGACUGGGAUAACUUCGGGAAACCGGAGCUAAUACCGGAUAAUAUUUUGAACCGCAUGGUUCAAAAGUGAAAGACGGACUUGCUGUCACUUAUAGAUGGAUCCGCGCUGCAUUAGCUAGUUGGUAAGGUAACGGCUUACCAAGGCAACGAUGCAUAGCCGACCUGAGAGGGUGAUCGGCCACACUGGAACUGAGACACGGUCCAGACUCCUACGGGAGGCAGCAGUAGGGAAUCUUCCGCAAUGGGCGAAAGCCUGACGGAGCAACGUCGCGUGAGUGAUGAAGGUCUUCGGAUCGUAAAACUCUGUUAUUAGGGAAGAACAUAUGUGUAAGUAACUGUGCACAUCUUGACGGUACCUAAUCAGAAAGCCACGGCUAACUACGUGCCAGCAGCCGCGGUAAUACGUAGGUGGCAAGCGUUAUCCGGAAUUAUUGGGCGUAAAGCGCGCGUAGGCGGUUUUUUAAGUCUGAUGUGAAAGCCCACGGCUCAACCGUGGAGGGUCAUUGGAAACUGGAAAACUUGAGUGCGGAAGAGGAAAGUGGAAUUCCAUGUGUAGCGGUGAAAUGCGCAGAGAUAUGGAGGAACACCAGUGGCGAAGGCGACUUUCUGGUCUGUAACUGACGCUGAUGUGCGAAAGCGUGGGGAUCAAACAGGAUUAGAUACCCUGGUAGUCCACGCCGUAAACGAUGAGUGCUAAGUGUUAGGGGGUUUCCGCCCCUUAGUGCUGCAGCUAACGCAUUAAGCACUCCGCCUGGGGAGUACGACCGCAAGGUUGAAACUCAAAGGAAUUGACGGGGACCCGCACAAGCGGUGGAGCAUGUGGUUUAAUUCGAAGCAACGCGAAGAACCUUACCAAAUCUUGACAUCCUUUGACAACUCUAGAGAUAGAGCUUUCCCCUUCGGGGGACAAAGUGACAGGUGGUGCAUGGUUGUCGUCAGCUCGUGUCGUGAGAUGUUGGGUUAAGUCCCGCAACGAGCGCAACCCUUAAGCUUAGUUGCCAUCAUUAAGUUGGGCACUCUAAGUUGACUGCCGGUGACAAACCGGAGGAAGGUGGGGAUGACGUCAAAUCAUCAUGCCCCUUAUGAUUUGGGCUACACACGUGCUACAAUGGACAAUACAAAGGGCAGCGAAACCGUGAGGUCAAGCAAAUCCCAUAAAGUUGUUCUCAGUUCGGAUUGUAGUCUGCAACUCGACUACAUGAAGCUGGAAUCGCUAGUAAUCGUAGAUCAGCAUGCUACGGUGAAUACGUUCCCGAGUCU